CUGUAGCUGAUGAGUCCCAAGUAGGACGAAACGCGCGUCCUGAG
rnacentral:hammerhead_ribozyme from 1 species